UACGGAGGGUGCGAGCGUUGUCCGGAAUCACUGGGCGUAAAGGGCGCGUAGGCGGCUUGGUAAGGGGGCGGUGAAAGCCCGGGGCUCAACCCCGGGUCUGCCGGACCGACUGCCGAGCUUGAGCACACUAGGGGCAGGUGGAAUUCCGGGUGUAGCGGUGGAAUGCGUAGAGAUCCGGAAGAACACCGGUGGCGAAGGCGGCCUGCCGGGGUGCCCUGACGCUGAGGCGCGAAAGCGUGGGGAGCGAACCGG
rnacentral:rRNA from 1 species